rnacentral:tRNA from 1 species
GCCCGGGUGACGAAAUUGGUAGACGUAGCGCACUUAAAAUGCGCCGGCGCAAGCCUUACGGGUUCGACCCCCGUCCCGGGCA